rnacentral:rRNA from 1 species
UACGUAGGGCGCAAGCGUUGUCCGGAAUUAUUGGGCGUAAGAGCUCGUAGGCGGCUUGUCGCGUCUGUUGUGAAAGCCCGGGGCUUAACCCCGGGUCUGCAGUGGAUACGGGCAGGCUAGAGGCAGGUAGGGGAGAACGGAAUUCCCGGUGUAGCGGUGAAAUGCGCAGAUAUCUGGAGGAACACCGGUGGCGAAGGCGGCUACCUGGCCCAACAUUGACGCUGAGACCCGAAAGCAUGGGGAUCAAACAGGG